rnacentral:tRNA from 1 species
UCCCUAGUGGCUCAGUUGUUAAAGAAACUGCCUGCAACGCAGGAGACCCAGGUUCAAUCCCUGCGUUGGGAA